rnacentral:rRNA from 1 species
UGGGGAAUAUUGCGCAAUGGGGGGAACCCUGACGCAGCCAUGCCGCGUGAAUGAAGAAGGCCUUAGGGUUGUAAAGUUCUUUCGGUAUUGAGGAAGGUUGAUGUGUUAAUAGCACAUCAAAUUGACGUUAAAUACAGAAGAAGCACCGGCUAACUCCGUGCCAGCAGCCGCGGUAAUACGGAGGGUGCGAGCGUUAAUCGGAAUAACUGGGCGUAAAGGGCACGCAGGCGGUUAUUUAAGUGAGGUGUGAAAGCCCCGGGCUUAACCUGGGAAUUGCAUUUCAGACUGGGUAACUAGAGUACUUUAGGGAGGGGUAGAAUUCCACGUGUAGCGGUGAAAUGCGUAGAGAUGUGGAGGAUACCGAAGGCGAAGGCAGCCCCUUGGGAAUGUACUGACGCUCAUGUGCGAAAGCGUGGGGAGCAAACAGGAUUAGAUACCCUGGUAGUCCACGCUGUAAACGCUGUCGAUUUGGGGGUUGGGGUUUAACUCUGGCGCCCGUAGCUAACGUGAUAAAUCGACCGCCUGGGGAGUACGGCCGCAAGGUUA